rnacentral:rRNA from 1 species
GACGAACGCUGGCGGCGUGCUUAACACAUGCAAGUCGAACGGUGAAGCGCCUUCCUUUUUGGUGGGUGUGGAUGAGUGGCGAACGGGUGAGUAACACGUGAGUAACCUGCCCCCUUCUUCUGGAUAACCGCAUGAAAGUGUGGCUAAUACGGGAUAUUCUGGGUCUGUCGCAUGAUGGGUCUGGGAAAGAUAUUGUUUCGGUGGGGGAUGGGCUCGCGGCCUAUCAGCUUGUUGGUGGGGUGAUGGCCUACCAAGGCGGUGACGGGUAGCCGGCCUGAGAGGGUGGACGGUCACACUGGGACUGAGACACGGCCCAGACUCCUACGGGAGGCAGCAGUGGGGAAUAGUGCACAAUGGGCGCAAGCCUGAUGCAGCGACGCCGCGUGAGGGAUGGAGGCCUUCGGGUUGUGAACCUCUUUCGCCAGUGAAGCAGGCCUGCCUCGUCUGUGGGUGGGUUGACGGUAGCUGGAUAAGAAGCGCCGGCUAACUACGUG